rnacentral:rRNA from 1 species
GACGAACGCUGGCGGCGUGCUUAACACAUGCAAGUCGAACGGAAAGGCCCUGCUUUUGUGGGGUGCUCGAGUGGCGAACGGGUGAGUAACACGUGAGCAACCUGCCCUUGACUUUGGGAUAACUUCAGGAAACUGGGGCUAAUACCGGAUAGGAGCUCCUGCUGCAUGGUGGGGGUUGGAAAGUUUCGGCGGUUGGGGAUGGACUCGCGGCUUAUCAGCUUGUUGGUGGGGUAGUGGCUUACCAAGGCUUUGACGGGUAGCCGGCCUGAGAGGGUGACCGGCAAAAUUGGGAAUGAGAGACGGCCCAGACUCCUACGGGAGGCAGCAGUGGGGAAUAUUGAACAAGGGGCGGAAGCCUGAUGCAGCAACGCCGCGUGCGGGAUGACGGCCUUCGGGUUGUAAACCGCUUUCGCCUGUGACGAAGCGUGAGGGACGGUAAUGGGUAAAGAAGCACCGGCUAACUACGU